rnacentral:rRNA from 1 species
AGCUCCAAUAGCGUAUAUUUAAGUUGUUGCAGUUAAAAAGCUCGUAGUUGGAUUUCGGAUGGGAUUUGCCGGUCCGUCGUUGCGAUGUGCACUGGCAAGUCCUAUCUUGUUGUCGGGGACUAGCUCCUGGGCUUCACUGUCCGGGACUAGGAGCCGACGAAGUUACUUUGAGUAAAUUAGAGUGUUCAAAGCAAGCCUACGCUCUGAAUAUAUUAGCAUGGAAUAACACGAUAGGACUCUGGCUUAUCUUGUUGGUCUGUGAGACCAGAGUAAUGAUUAAGAGGGACAGUCGGGGACAUUCGUAUUUCAUUGUCAGAGGUGAAAUUCUUGGAUUUAUGAAAGACGAACUUCUGCGAAAGCAUUUGUCAAGGAUGUUUUCA